rnacentral:rRNA from 1 species
AGCGAACGCUGGCGGCAGGCCUAACACAUGCAAGUCGAACGCCCCUUCGGGGGAGUGGCGGACGGGUGAGUAACGCGUGGGAACGUGCCCUUUGGUACGGAACAACUGAGGGAAACUUCAGCUAAUACCGUAUGUGCCAUACGGGGAAAGAUUUAUCGCCAUUGGAGCGGCCCGCGUUGGAUUAGGUAGUUGGUGGGGUAAUGGCCCACCAAGACGACGAUCCAUAGCUGGUCUGGGAGGAUGAUCAGCCACACUGGGACUGAGACACGGCCCAGGCGCCUACGGGAGGCAGCAGUGGGGAAUCUUGCGCAAUGGGCGAAAGCCUGACGCAGCCAUGCCGCGUGUAUGAUGAAGGUCUUAGGAUUGUAAAAUACUUUCACCGGGGAAGAUAAUGACGGUACCCGGAGAAGAAGCCCCGGCUAACUUCGUGCCAGCCGCCGCCGUAA